rnacentral:rRNA from 1 species
CUUCACCCGUCUUGACACACGGACCAAGGAGUCUAACAUGCAUACAAGUCUAAUAGUGUUAAAACUUUUAGGCGUAAUGAAAGUAAGAUGGUAAGAUCAUCAUUAUUAUGAUGUGCAUUAUCGAACAAUCCGGAUCCAUUGAGUGAAGGAAUUGAUUAGGAGUAUGUAUGAUAGGACCCGAAAGAUGGUGAACUAUACUUGAGUAGAAUGAAGUCAGAGGAAACUCUGAUGGAGGUUCGAAGGGGUUCUGACGUGCAAAUCGAUCUUCAAACUUGAGUAUAGGGGCGAAAGACUAAUCGACCCAUCUAGUAGCUGGUUCCCCCCG